CGGGCACCGAGGCGCUGGGAAGGCCGGCGCCGGCGCGGGUGGCGACGGGCGCGCUCACGCCCGGGGUGGGGCCGCUCGGGACGGUCGUGCCGGCC
rnacentral:tRNA from 1 species